rnacentral:rRNA from 1 species
GACGAACGCUGGCGGCGUGCCUAAUACAUGCAAGUCGAGCGGACUUGACAGAGCUUGCUCUGUUCAAGUUAGCGGCGGACGGGUGAGUAACACGUGGGCAACCUGCCCUGCAGAUUGGGAUAACUCCGGGAAACCGGGGCUAAUACCGAAUAAUAUCGAAGAUUACAUGAUCUUCUUUUGAAAGAUGGCUUUAGCUGUCACUGCAGGAUGGGCCCGCGGCGCAUUAGCUAGUUGGUGAGGUAACGGCUCACCAAGGCGACGAUGCGUAGCCGACCUGAGAGGGUGAUCGGCCACACUGGGACUGAGACACGGCCCAGACUCCUACGGGAGGCAGCAGUAGGGAAUCUUCCGCAAUGGACGAAAGUCUGACGGAGCAACGCCGCGUGAGUGAUGAAGGUUUUCGGAUCGUAAAACUCUGUUGUCAGGGAAGAACACGUACGGGAGUAACUGUCCGUACCUUGACGGUACCUGACCAGAAAGCCACGGCUAACUACGUGCCAGCCGCCGCAGUAACAC